UGGUGUCACUGAAGAUAUG
rnacentral:siRNA from 1 species